rnacentral:rRNA from 1 species
GACGAACGCUGGCGGCGUGCCUAAUACAUGCAAGUCGAACGCAGUGGGGAUGGGUGAGUAACACGUGGGUAAUCUCCCAGCAGAGGGGAUAACACUUGGAAACAGGUGCUAAAACGAUACUGAUGGAUGGACUCGGGGUGCAUUAGCUAGUUGGUGAGUUAACGGCUUAGCAAGGCUACGAUGCAUAGCGGGCCUGAGAGGGUGAUCGGCCACACUGGGACUGAGACACGGCCCAGACUCCUACGGGAGGCAGCAGUAGGGAAUCUUCGACAAUGGGCGAAAGUCUGACCGAGCAACGCCGCGUGAAUGAAGAAGGUUUUCGGGUCGUAAAGCUCUGUUGUUGGAGAGGCGGUAUCUAACCAGGAAGCCACGGCUAACUACGUGCCAGCAGCCGCGGUAAUUC